UAAAAUUAACCAAUUGGUGUCAAAUGAAACACAAAGAAAGUGUUGGGAAUCUGACUUUUUGUUCUAAAAAUAAUGACUAAAAGACAGGUUCAAAUUUACAGUCUGACAUCAAGCAAGGACCUAAUCACUGCAUCAUCGACAACAUCCCUCAUCGAAAGAGGAACAAAGAUAUAGAUUGUAUAUAAAGCAAAAAUGGAGGAACAAAUGUCACGACCUUACUUGAACAGGAUCUGUUCUAUAGGCUCGUACCUCUGUUACCCUUAGCACAAAGGAGACAGUAUUCCAAGUUUGGUUGAUGAACUGAGACUGUGCGAUCAGAGCGUGAUUAUUGGUCUUGCCUUCCUGUUGAUGGUUGGCUUAGGCUGCAGAGGAUCGUUCUUAUCCAGCUUUGUCUGGCUGAGAUGGUCACACAGUUGUCUGACAAGCUACAUAUUUCUUUUUUUUUUUCCGCCCAGAGCUGCUGCGACGAUAGAGUAAGGCUAGCUUAGAAAUCUUGGAAAGGAGUAAAUUAACUGGACUCAAAACUCACCUGAAAAAACAUCAGACAGUCAGUUGGAAGAGAGAAAUAAGAUCCAUGAAUGAGAGAAAGACAUUUUUGAGAGCACAAAGAAUGUCACUAUUACAACAGAUUCUAACCCUUUUCUUCACAAAAAAAAAAAAUGGAAUGCCGACGUUUCAUGUAAUCAUCCACUCUAAUAAUUUUCGCAGCUCUUAUAUUUAUGUAUUUAUUGUUCAAUUUCUGGAUUUUCUGAAUUGGGAGGUCUUUGCUACAGAUGCUGGGUUGGGAAAGAGGUUUAACAAGAUCAUGGCUUUGGAUUAUUUUACAACCACGCCGGUGAUAAAGGAUCCUGCUGCUGGGACCUAUACUUCUUUCCAGGUUCCGGUGCACGCUGUGCCCAUUUUCGUGCCUGUUCAGGUGGAAUAUUCGGUUGGGCAGUACCAGCAGAAGGUAGUAACUUUGUUUUAGUUCAAAAAUAAGAGGAGUGCAUUUUGUUUCGGAUAAAUAUUUUAUGCGCUGUUUUUUUAUUGCGCUUGGGGUUUAAAAGUAAUUUUUCACUACAAAGCAACGAACAACAUUUUGCUUUUGAUGCCAAACUGUGGUCGAAAAAAUGUUUUUUCACUCAAACACAAAACUUAGAAUAUAAGUGCAUGAAAUUUAUAUAAAAAAAAACUAUUAUUUAUAUUAUCCAGGUUUAUAAAAAUUAGAUUAAUUUAUAUUAUAUGUAUGGUUAUAUUAAAUUAAAAUUUAUAUUUCAUGUUUAAAUGAUAUAUAAUUUGUGAUACUAACUCAAUUGACGAUAUUAUUGAUAAGAUUAUAACACACUCACAAUAUGAGUAUAAAUAAUUAUAUAUUAUAUUUAUUAAGAAUUCACGUACAAAAAAAUGUUACUUUAGUUAAAAUGGUAAAGUUGGAAGAGUGUAUAUUUGGUGUUUUGAGUUUAAAUUCUAUCGUAAGCAUGAAUUUUUUUCUAAAUUUUAUAUAAAAAAGAUAAAAAUACUCUUAAAUUAAUAUUUAUUGCUUUGUUAAAAUAAAAAUAAUUUGGUAAUUUAAUAAUUGAGUUGGAACUCAAUUAUGAGUGUCGCAACCAUUUUUUUGAAAAACAAGUCGACUUUGUUUGAAAGCGAAAAUUAAAAACGGGAGUAGCCACCAAUCCUUUUUUUAUGAGGUGUGAUCAGGUCACAUCGUAAUCUGGUUGUUUUAAUAAAAUAUAUCGAUUUAUCAAAACAACGAUUUUGGUCUACGAAAUUCAAGAAAACGAGUUUGAGAGUCGGUUACGUGCGAGGAAGGAUUAGCACCCUCUUCACGCCCAAAAUUAGUACCUAAUUGAUUAAUUGGUUUUUUAAUGUCGAAAGUAGAAAACUUGAAAAGAGUUUUAAAAUACGAUUCCUCUUUGUAUUAAUGUUAAUUUUACUUAAAAAUGUGUGGAUAAAUCGAAACGGAUGCUAAAGACUUUCUUAUCCCAAAGUAAUAAAAUAUCACAUCCAGUGCGUUAGGACACGACAUUUUAAACCCUAAAAAAUAAGCUUGUCUUUUGAUUUUCAAAACACAUGCAUUUUAAUUUUAAAAGGAUAUUCGGUCAUUUGGGUCAAACGAAAAAAAUCGAAACCCAAUACGUUAGGGUACGAUCUCUCGAAUUUUCAAACACAAAAUAUUACCUUUAUUAUUAUAAAAAAAAUUAUGUGACGGGUGAAAAUUAAUGCAUCAUGGUAUUAAAAUAUAAAAAAAGUCGCGAUGCUAAUACACGUAACAAAAUAAUAAUGAAUGCAAUAAUAUGAACGAGGAUAACAAAGGCAAAAAUAAAUAAAUAAGCCGAUUAUAAAUAAGAGAAAGGCAAGUAAAAAAAUAAAAAUAAAAAUUAAAAACAAUAGCAGACAAACACAGAAAUAAAUGAUAUGUGCAACGGCUAAAAAGUAAUAAUAACAAAAAUAAUAAAGUUUGGAAUUAUAGAAAGGUAUGAAUAAGCAAUAAAAUGAUAAAACCAAAACAAAAUAAAUAAAAAGGUAAAUAAAUAGAAAAUAAAAAGGUAAAAGGGGUGAAAAUAAAUAAAUAAAGGUGAAAUUAGAGUGAAUUUCAAGAAAUAGAAGUCGAAAAUAAAUGAAGACGUAAAAUAUAAAAGUAUUAAAAAUAAAUGAAUAAAUAUAUAUAAUGAAAUAAAAAUAAUGAGGGUAAAAACAAAACAAAAUAAUAAGAAAGAAUGAUUAAAUGAAAUAACGAAUAAAUAUUAGUGAAAGUUUAAUUAAAAAUUGAGAUUAAGCACAUAAAUGUAUAAAUAAAGAAAUAUUAAGUAAAAUGGUUUUAAAAUAAUAAUGAUAAUAAUAGUAGAAUGGUAAUAAUAAUAAUAGCGAUAAUAGUAUAAUAAAAUAAAUAUAAAUAUAAAUGUAAUAACAAUAAUAAUAUAUUAAAUUAACUAAUUUAAUAAUAAAAUAGCAAAAGUAGCAAAAAGGACCUAAUUGAGUCUAAAAACAAAAUUUCGAGGCAAAUCAGAAAUAAAUAAAAAGGAAAUGGACUGAUUUAAACGCAUGAAUAACAAGGUGGGACCAAAAGGGCAAUACUCCCUGACCUCCAAAACGUACAGCAUCAGGUGGGACCAAAUUGAAAGUCAAAAUAUAUUAUACAGCAAAAUUAAAAAAUAGGAAAAACAUAAUUGCAAAAUCAUAAAAAGCGAAAGGACCUAAAUCGAAAUUUGCCCUUCCAAGAAAAAUAUGCGGAUCCUAGCUUGGAGCGGGUCGGAUCGGGUCGGUUGAGCUUGAAACGACGCCGUUUUGGGGUUUAAGGACCCAGACCAAAACGACGUCGUUUUAGCACUCUAUUUAAGCAAAUUUUCCAAAAAAAAAAAUUCAUUUCAGCAUUUGUUUUAAAAAAAAGAACCUUCCUCCCUCUCUUUUUUUCUCUCUGCAGAAGCCUUAGGCCGAUCAGAGCUCCAGCGAACCGCUGCCGCGACCACCGCCCUCGACCGCUGUGCACAGUUGUUGGAGCUCGGAAAGAAGCCCCCUUUUUAGUCAAUCGGAGAAUAGGUAAUAAAUCCCUCUCUUUUUUUGUGUGUGUUUUUGAUAUAUAUAGGUAUAUAUAUAUAAUUUCCGAAAAAGAAAAUAAAAAUAAAAUGAAGAGGUACCCUUAGCACGUCUCAAACUUUGGAUUCUCUUUCGAAAUUCUUGUUUUUUUUUUUGUAUCUUUCUCUGUUUUUUAUUUCAAAAAAUCCCCCUUUUACAUUGAUAAACGAUGGCUUUUUAUAGUCGAUUAUGUUACAUUGUUUGCUACUAUUCAUGCACUAUUUAUUUCCUAUUUUUGCGCUGCUGUUGCGUGUUCUUCUUCUUAUUUGUAGAAUGAUUGAUGGCGGUGGAGCAAGUGGCUGACAGAGGAGUGCGGGGUGCUUGAACAUGCGGCUAGGGUUUUCUUUCUUUCUUUUUUUUUUGGCUAAAAAUGUUUAGGUUGUGGGCUUUUGGACUGCUAGAGUUUUUUAGGUUUUGGGCUAGUGUUUAAUUUUGGUUUGGGCUUGUAAUUUAUUGGGCUGUGUUUGUAAUUUAGACUUUGGAUUUAUUAUUAUUAUUUUAUAUUUGUAAUUUGUCUUAAGCCCAGGCCAAAAUUAACCUUUUACAAUGAGUGACACCAAUUCAAUCAAAAUCUUUAUAUAUAACAUAGAUAAUUUAGUACAAAUUACACAUUCAUUGUGUGAAAAUUAAUAAAUAAAAAUACGUAAAAGCAAAAGUAA
rnacentral:lncRNA from 1 species